GCUAUAAGACCUGAUACUCGGCGGCCUGGGGACGAAAGACUUUCACAAAGAUUUGUUCUUCAAGCUCCUCCAAAGAAGAAACAGGAAGCAAGUGGCCAAGGAUCAUCAGAUGACGUCUGUCCAUUACCAUACAGUAGUCCAUCACCAUCACCACAACCUAUUCGGCCUCCUGUAGCUUUCACUGUGCCAUGGAGGGAUGAGACUCCAUAAGUUUGGAU